AGAGUUUGAUCAUGGCUCAGAUUGAACGCUGGCGGCAGGCCUAACACAUGCAAGUCGAGCGGAUGAGUGGAGCUUGCUCCAUGAUUCAGCGGCGGACGGGUGAGUAAUGCCUAGGAAUCUGCCUGGUAGUGGGGGACAACGUUUCGAAAGGAACGCUAAUACCGCAUACGUCCUACGGGAGAAAGCAGGGGACCUUCGGGCCUUGCGCUAUCAGAUGAGCCUAGGUCGGAUUAGCUAGUUGGUGAGGUAAAGGCUCACCAAGGCGACGAUCCGUAACUGGUCUGAGAGGAUGAUCAGUCACACUGGAACUGAGACACGGUCCAGACUCCUACGGGAGGCAGCAGUGGGGAAUAUUGGACAAUGGGCGCAAGCCUGAUCCAGCCAUGCCGCGUGUGUGAAGAAGGCCUUCGGGUUGUAAAGCACUUUCAGCGAGGAGGAAGGGAUUGUAGUUAAUAGCUGCAAUUUUUGACGUUACUCGCAGAAGAAGCACCGGCUAACUCUGUGCCAGCAGCCGCGGUAAUACAGAGACUGCAAGCGUUAUUCGGAUUCACUGGGCGUAAAGGGUGCGCAGGCGGCCAAGUGUGUGAAGCGUGAAAGCCCAAGGCUCAACCUUGGAAUUGCGCCUCAAACUACAUGGCUAGAGCAUUGGAGAGGGUAGCAGAAUUCAUGGUGUAGCAGUGAAAUGCGUAGAUAUCAUGAGGAAUACCAGAGGCGAAGGCGGCUACCUGGACAAUUGCUGACGCUCAGGCACGAAAGCGUGGGGAGCAAAAGGGAUUAGAUACCCCUGUAGUCCACGCCCUAAACGGUGCAUACUAGGUCUUGGCGGAUUCGACCCCUCCAGGGCCCAAGCUAACGCGAUAAGUAUGCCGCCUGAGGACUACGGCCGCAAGGCUAAAACUCAAAGGAAUUGACGGGGAC
rnacentral:rRNA from 1 species